rnacentral:rRNA from 1 species
GUUUGAUCCUGGCUCAGGAUGAACGCUGGCGGCGUGCCUAACACAUGCAAGUCGAACGGGAAUCUUCGGAUUCUAGUGGCGGACGGGUGAGUAACGCGUAAGAAUCUAACUUCAGGACGGGGACAACAGUUGGAAACGACUGCUAAUACCCGAUAUGCCGCGAGGUGAAACCUAAUUGGCCUGAAGAAGAGCUUGCGUCUGAUUAGCUAGUUGGUGGGGUAAGAGCCUACCAAGGCGACGAUCAGUAGCUGGUCUGAGAGGAUGAGCAGCCACACUGGGACUGAGACACGGCCCAGACUCCUACGGGAGGCAGCAGUGGGGAAUUUUCCGCAAUGGGCGAAAGCCUGACGGAGCAACGCCGCGUGAGGGAGGAAGGUCUUUGGAUUGUAAACCUCUUUUCUCAAGGAAGAAGUUCUGACGGUACUUGAGGAAUCAGCCUCGGCUAACUCCGUGCCAGCAGCCGCGGUAAUACGGGGGAGGCAAGCGUUAUCCGGAAUUAUUGGGCGUAAAGCGUCCGCAGGUGGUCAGCCAAGUCUGCUGUCAAAUCAGGUUGCUUAACGACCUAAAGGCGGUGGAAACUGGCAGACUAGAGAGCAGUAGGGGUAGCAGGAAUUCCCAGUGUAGCGGUGAAAUGCGUAGAGAUUGGGAAGAACAUCGGUGGCGAAAGCGUGCUACUGGGCUGUAUCUGACACUCAGGGACGAAAGCUAGGGGAGCGAAAGGGAUUAGAUACCCCUGUAGUCCUAGCCGUAAACGAUGGAUACUAGGCGUGGCUUGUAUCGACCCGAGCCGUGCCGAAGCUAACGCGUUAAGUAUCCCGCCUGGGGAGUACGCACGCAAGUGUGAAACUCAAAGGAAUUGACGGG